UACGGGGGAGCAAGCGUUGUUCGGAUUACUGGCGUAAAGGGCGCGUAGGCGGCCACCGCAAGUCGGUUGUGAAUCUCCGGGCUUAACCGGAAAGGUCAAUCGAUACUGCGGGCUAGAGUGCAGAAGGGGCAACUGGAAUUCUCGGUGUAGCGGUGAAAUGCGUAGAGAAUCAUGAGGAAGACAGUGGCGAAGGCGGGUCCCUGGACAGUUCCUGACAUGAGGCACGAAGGCCAGGGGAGCAAACGGGG
rnacentral:rRNA from 1 species